rnacentral:rRNA from 1 species
UACGUAGGGUGCAAGCGUUAUCCGGAUUCACUGGGUUUAAAGGGUGCGUAGGUGGGUUGGUAAGUCAGUGGUGAAAUCUCCGUGCUUAACAUGGAAACUGCCAUUGAUACUACUGAUCUUGAAUUUUCCGGAGGUAAGCGGAAUAUGUCAUGUAGCGGUGAAAUGCUUAGAUAUCGUCAAGAACACCGAUAGUGAAGACAGCUAACUAGGCUUAUACUGACGCUGAGGCACGAAAGUGUGGGGAUCAAACAGG